rnacentral:rRNA from 1 species
GGUUAAGCGACUAAGCGUACACGGUGGAUGCCCUGGCAGUCAGAGGCGAUGAAGGACGUGCUAAUCUGCGAUAAGCGUCGGUAAGGUGAUAUGAACCGUUAUAACCGGCGAUUUCCGAAUGGGGAAACCCAGUGUGUUUCGACACACUAUCAUUAACUGAAUCCAUAGGUUAAUGAGGCGAACCGGGGGAACUGAAACAUCUAAGUACCCCGAGGAAAAGAAAUCAACCGAGAUUCCCCCAGUAGCGGCGAGCGAACGGGGAGCAGCCCAGAGCCUGAAUCAGUGUGUGUGUUAGUGGAAGCGUCUGGAAAGGCGCGCGAUACAGGGUGACAGCCCCGUACACAAAAAUGCACAUGCUGUGAGCUCGAUGAGUAGGGCGGGACACGUGGUAUCCUGUCUGAAUAUGGGGGGACCAUCCUCCAAGGCUAAAUACUCCUGACUGACCGAUAGUGAACCAGUACCGUGAGGGAAAGGCGAAAAGAACCCCGGCGAGGGGAGUGAAAAAGAACCUGAAACCGUGUACGUACAAGCAGUGGGAGCACGCUUCGGCGUGUGACUGCGUACCUUUUGUAUAAUGGGUCAGCGACUUAUAUUCUGUAGCAAGGUUAACCGAAUAGGGGAGCCGAAGGGAAACCGAGUCUUAACUGGGCGUUAAGUUGCAGGGUAUAGACCCGAAACCCGGUGAUCUAGCCAUGGGCAGGUUGAAGGUUGGGUAACACUAACUGGAGGACCGAACCGACUAAUGUUGAAAAAUUAGCGGAUGACUUGUGGCUGGGGGUGAAAGGCCAAUCAAACCGGGAGAUAGCUGGUUCUCCCCGAAAGCUAUUUAGGUAGCGCCUCGUGAAUUCAUCUCCGGGGGUAGAGCACUGUUUCGGCAAGGGGGUCAUCCCGACUUACCAACCCGAUGCAAACUGCGAAUACCGGAGAAUGUUAUCACGGGAGACACACGGCGGGUGCUAACGUCCGUCGUGAAGAGGGAAACAACCCAGACCGCCAGCUAAGGUCCCAAAGUCAUGGUUAAGUGGGAAACGAUGUGGGAAGGCCCAGACAGCCAGGAUGUUGGCUUAGAAGCAGCCAUCAUUUAAAGAAAGCGUAAUAGCUCACUGGUCGAGUCGGCCUGCGCGGAAGAUGUAACGGGGCUAAACCAUGCACCGAAGCUGCGGCAGCGACGCUGAUGCGUUGUUGGGUAGGGGAGCGUUCUGUAAGCCUGCGAAGGUGUGCUGUGAGGCAUGCUGGAGGUAUCAGAAGUGCGAAUGCUGACAUAAGUAACGAUAAAGCGGGUGAAAAGCCCGCUCGCCGGAAGACCAAGGGUUCCUGUCCAACGUUAAUCGGGGCAGGGUGAGUCGACCCCUAAGGCGAGGCCGAAAGGCGUAGUCGAUGGGAAACAGGUUAAUAUUCCUGUACUUGGUGUUACUGCGAAGGGGGGACGGAGAAGGCUAUGUUGGCCGGGCGACGGUUGUCCCGGUUUAAGCGUGUAGGCUGGUUUUCCAGGCAAAUCCGGAAAAUCAAGGCUGAGGCGUGAUGACGAGGCACUACGGUGCUGAAGCAACAAAUGCCCUGCUUCCAGGAAAAGCCUCUAAGCAUCAGGUAACAUCAAAUCGUACCCCAAACCGACACAGGUGGUCAGGUAGAGAAUACCAAGGCGCUUGAGAGAACUCGGGUGAAGGAACUAGGCAAAAUGGUGCCGUAACUUCGGGAGAAGGCACGCUGAUAUGUAGGUGAAGUCCCUCGCGGAUGGAGCUGAAAUCAGUCGAAGAUACCAGCUGGCUGCAACUGUUUAUUAAAAACACAGCACUGUGCAAACACGAAAGUGGACGUAUACGGUGUGACGCCUGCCCGGUGCCGGAAGGUUAAUUGAUGGGGUUAGCCGCAAGGCGAAGCUCUUGAUCGAAGCCCCGGUAAACGGCGGCCGUAACUAUAACGGUCCUAAGGUAGCGAAAUUCCUUGUCGGGUAAGUUCCGACCUGCACGAAUGGCGUAAUGAUGGCCAGGCUGUCUCCACCCGAGACUCAGUGAAAUUGAACUCGCUGUGAAGAUGCAGUGUACCCGCGGCAAGACGGAAAGACCCCGUGAACCUUUACUAUAGCUUGACACUGAACAUUGAGCCUUGAUGUGUAGGAUAGGUGGGAGGCUUUGAAGUGUGGACGCCAGUCUGCAUGGAGCCGACCUUGAAAUACCACCCUUUAAUGUUUGAUGUUCUAACGUUGACCCGUAAUCCGGGUUGCGGACAGUGUCUGGUGGGUAGUUUGACUGGGGCGGUCUCCUCCUAAAGAGUAACGGAGGAGCACGAAGGUUGGCUAAUCCUGGUCGGACAUCAGGAGGUUAGUGCAAUGGCAUAAGCCAGCUUGACUGCGAGCGUGACGGCGCGAGCAGGUGCGAAAGCAGGUCAUAGUGAUCCGGUGGUUCUGAAUGGAAGGGCCAUCGCUCAACGGAUAAAAGGUACUCCGGGGAUAACAGGCUGAUACCGCCCAAGAGUUCAUAUCGACGGCGGUGUUUGGCACCUCGAUGUCGGCUCAUCACAUCCUGGGGCUGAAGUAGGUCCCAAGGGUAUGGCUGUUCGCCAUUUAAAGUGGUACGCGAGCUGGGUUUAGAACGUCGUGAGACAGUUCGGUCCCUAUCUGCCGUGGGCGCUGGAGAACUGAGGGGGGCUGCUCCUAGUACGAGAGGACCGGAGUGGACGCAUCACUGGUGUUCGGGUUGUCAUGCCAAUGGCACUGCCCGGUAGCUAAAUGCGGAAGAGAUAAGUGCUGAAAGCAUCUAAGCACGAAACUUGCCCCGAGAUGAGUUCUCCCUGACUCCUUGAGAGUCCUGAAGGAACGUUGAAGACGACGACGUUGAUAGGCCGGGUGUGUAAGCGCAGCGAUGCGUUGAGCUAACCGGUACUAAUGAACCGUGAGGCUUAACCUU